UUUUAAAUUGAGAGUUUGAUCCUGGCUCAGGACGAACGCUGGCGGCGUGCCUAACACAUGCAAGUCGAGCGAUGAAACCCUUCGGGGUGGAUUAGCGGCGGACGGGGGAGGAACACG
rnacentral:rRNA from 1 species